rnacentral:rRNA from 1 species
GCAUAUCAAUAAGCGGAGGAAAAGAAACCAACAGGGAUUGCCUCAGUAACGGCGAGUGAAGCGGCAACAGCUCAAAUUUGAAAUCUGGCCCUAGGCCCGAGUUGUAAUUUGCAGAGGAUGCUUUUGGUGAGGUGCCUUCCGAGUUCCCUGGAACGGGACGCCAUAGAGGGUGAGAGCCCCGUCUGGUCGGACACCGAGCCUCUGUAAAGCUCCUUCGACGAGUCGAGUAGUUUGGGAAUGCUGCUCUAAAUGGGAGGUAUAUGUCUUCUAAAGCUAAAUACCGGCCAGAGACCGAUAGCGCACAAGUAGAGUGAUCGAAAGAUGAAAAGCACUUUGAAAAGAGAGUUAAAUAGCACGUGAAAUUGUUGAAAGGGAAGCGUUUAUGACCAGACUUGGCCCGGUUGAUCAUCCAGCGUUCUCGCUGGUGCACUCUGCCGGUCCAGGCCAGCAUCAGUUCGUCGCGGGGGAUAAAGGUUUCGGGAAUGUGGCUCCUCCGGGAGUGUUAUAGCCCGUUGCGUAAUACCCUGCGGUGGACUGAGGUCCGCGCUCUGCAAGGAUGCUGGCGUAAUGGUCAUCAACGACCCGUCUUGAAACACGGACCAAGGAGUCGUCUUCGUAUGCGAGUGUUCGGGUGUAAAACCCCUACGCGUAAUGAAAGUGAACGCAGGUGAGAGCUUCGGCGCAUCAUCGACCGAUCCUGAUGUUCUCGGAUGGAUUUGAGUAAGAGCAUACGGGGCCGGACCCGAAAGAAGGUGAACUAUGCCUGUAUAGGGUGAAGCCAGAGGAAACUCUGGUGGAGGCUCGCAGCGGUUCUGACGUGCAAAUCGAUCGUCAAAUAUGGGCAUGGGGGGCGAAAGACUAAUCGAACCUUCUAGUAGCUGGUUUCCGCG